GACGAACGCUGGCGGCGUGCUUAACACAUGCAAGUCGAACGGUGAAGCGCCUUCCUUUUUGGUGGGUGUGGAUGAGUGGCGAACGGGUGAGUAACACGUGAGUAACCUGCCCCCUUCUUCUGGAUAACCGCAUGAAAGUGUGGCUAAUACGGGAUAUUCUGGGUCUGUCGCAUGAUGGGUCUGGGAAAGAUAUUGUUUCGGUGGGGGAUGGGCUCGCGGCCUAUCAGCUUGUUGGUGGGGUGAUGGCCUACCAAGGCGGUGACGGGUAGCCGGCCUGAGAGGGUGGACGGUCACACUGGGACUGAGACACGGCCCAGACUCCUACGGGAGGCAGCAGUGGGGAAUAUUGCACAAUGGGCGAAAGCCUGAUGCAGCGACGCCGCGGGAGGGAUGGAGGCCUUCGGGUUGUGAACCUCUUUCGCCAGUGAAGCAGGCCUGCCUCGUUUGUGGGUGGGUUGACGGUAGCUGGAGAAGAAGCGCCGGCUAACUACGUG
rnacentral:rRNA from 1 species